GAGGCCAACCCUAGAGUCACGAGCGCACGAGAAGAAAAAUCGCACAUCGGCCUCCUUGCUCCUCGCUCGCAGCCGCCUCCUCUGCCUGACCCACGCCGCCGGCCCUAUCUCUCUGCUCGCCUCCUCCUCUCCUAUUCCCUACCGUCAUGGUUCCGGAUCGGGGCUUGGGCCAUCGUCGUGGGGGAGCAGGGAUGACGGGGUCUUCACAGUGGAGGUGGAGCUGUAGGGGAGGGGAGGAUGCCAACGACAAGGGAAAGGAGGAGGCCAAAGAGGACGGCAAUGGGGAGGCCGGCAGGGAAGGAGCAGAGAGAGGGCUUCUGCUUCUUCCAGCGGGCCAUGGCACCCGAGUUCAUCGUCAUCGUGUCCCUUGAGUUGAGCCCCCGUCGCCCCCACUCCUCUCACUUUCUCGCGACAUCUCGCCGUUGAUCGCCACCCCAUUUCAAAAAUUCAGAGAGAGAUGCUGCGUGGCUCCCUCUGGCGGCUCCUGGCCGUGGCCGUGGCCGUGUCGGCGGCGACGGGGGCGGUGGCCGCCCUGAAGGCCGGUCGGAGCCUGCACCGGGACUUCGACGACGGAUGGGUGGUGGAGCUAGCGCUGGACCGGGAGACGGGGUCCAGGCUGGAGUCCAAGGACCGGUACCUCUUCGGGCGGUUCGAUCUCGACAUCAGGCUCGUUGCCGGCAUGUCCGCCGGGACCCGGGACCAUCGCUUCCUUCAACGUAAGUGUACAUGGAUCUCUCUGGUCGACUGCAGUUUCGUUCUCGUUUCUGACUGCCUAAUUAACCGGCAUCUCCGCACAACUCGCCCCUGCUAUGGCGGCGGUGCUGCCGAACAUCACCAGCCUCCUCUGAUGAGGGAGGUGGCUCGGCCCAGCCAUGGCCCUGGCACUUGCCAUGGGAGAGUAGGGCGGCACCGUCGUGGGGGUGGAUGACCAGGGGAUUGCCAGGAGGCCGGCGGUGGGUCGAAGAAGCAGAGAUGCAGCACAUUCUCUUCCUCUCUUCCUUGCUGACGACGCGUCCGGAAGGUGAUGCGUUCUCGUCUCUUCCCUUCUGGUUGCACGUCAGCUCCUUUUUCCAAUCCCAUGCUCUUCUCUCCUCAUGCCCCUCCUCCUCUUGCUCCUCCUAUGUAUUUUUUAAUUUCUUUUGUGCGAUUUUACUCCAUGGUGCUUGCACGUCCAUGGAUCUAGAAGUAGCAUGUUCAUUCUUCUUAGUUCAUGUUUUAUGUGUAGCAUUUCGUAGGCUAAAAAUUGAAAGGAGAUGUGAUGAUACUGUCUUUUGACUCCCUCCAUGCUACCUGUACAGAAUUUAUAGUUGCCAGGCAUAUGGUGGACUAAUCAAAUGCAAGCUAUGAGGAGCUAAAAGAAGUAGGAUAUUCCGAGCAAGGGACUCUACCUUUAUGGGUUUGAUUGUUGUGGCAGAAUCAAUGGACUGCACCAACUGCUAUUGAAGAAGUAUAUGUAGAAUGCAUAGUUAUGGUGCGAUAGGGCCAGUGUUGUUGUCUGACAGUUGUGCAUUCUUCACCUUGGAUGGUCAAAGAUAUGCUCGCUAGCCUGAUGCUGCUCCAUCGGUGGAUCUACAGAUUGUUCUAUUAUGAAGUAUUGGUUUAUUAUUGAGGUAGCCUUAGACGGAGGAGCUGAAUGCAGUUUUUGUAUCUUUUUUUAAUGUCCUGAAUGGUCCCAUGAAAAUCCUGGAUAAGAGCCAUGAAUAGGAGCAAGGCAGCACACUACACCUCUGAGAAGAAAAGGAUAUGAAGACAAAGAUAGAUCAGUGUUCUGCUCCGAAGCAAAAACAUUUUGCAUGUAAUAAUGAACUGUAAUUUACCACAAUCUCUCUAAAACAGCCUACUUAGUACCAGUCCGUUCCUUGCUUUUCUAUUAGGAAAUAUGACUUGGUCAUAUAUAUUUACAUUCGCGUUGUGUAGUUGUGGUUUGUAUGCUUGAAAAUACCUUUUUAAUCGAGCUUGAAAAUUCUUAUGUGCAGUGAAA